GUUUGUCGCCUAACGAGCUAGGUGGAGGCUUGGAAAAGAAGCGGUCAAACGAAUCAAGCACGAGAAGAAAACGUAUUCGGAUGCGAGGUAAGUAGAGCUUACGCCCCUUUACAUUAUUUGGAUGAUAUAAUGUCUAGGAGUAAAACCCUAGUCAAUCACAUGUUGAAAUCAUGCUUAUUUCUUGUGAAUUCACAAUCACCAUUGAAGGUGAUAAGUGGGUGUAGUAGGAACAUGUUAAACACUAGAAUUUUAAUUGUGGUUCUAGUGUAAUUUGAGUUCUAGGAAGUAAAUUCAGAUUUUUGUUAAUGUGAAAAUUUAUGUAAACAUGCUUAGUUGAUGUUAACCAUGGCUAAAUGACAAGUAUUGAGCUUGUUAAUAAAUUGUGAGAAAUUAUGCCCGCAAGGUGUUUGUUAAAAUGCCUAAGUGAAUGUUAUAUGUUGAGAUUACGAAUGAAACGCGUAAUUGCCUUGUUUGACUAAAUACGUAAGGUGGAAUAGUCGUGAAUUGAAAUGACUAAUCUAACCACCUUGUGAAUAAUGAUAGUUUGUCGCCUAACGAGCUAGGUGGAGGCUUGGAAAAGAAGCGGUCAAACGAAUCAAGCACGAGAAGAAAACGUAUUCGGAUGCGAGUGGUUGGUAUAUGA
rnacentral:lncRNA from 1 species